UACGUAGGGCGCGAGCGUUGUCCGGAAUUAUUGGGCGUAAAGGGUGCGUAGGCGGUCUGAUAAGUCAUCUGUGAAAUCUAUGGGCUCAACCCAUAGUCUGCAGGCGAAACUGUCGGGCUUGAGUAUGGGAGAGGUGAGUGGAAUUUCCCGGUGUAGCGGUGAAAUGCGUAGAUAUCGGAAGGAACACCAGUGGCGAAAGCGGCUCACUGGACCAUUACUGACGCUGA
rnacentral:rRNA from 1 species